CCCCCGUCUCUCUUGGCCCCUCAUUUUUUCUCUCCCCCACCUUGAUCCAAAUCUGACUCGGGCUCUCCCCUCGCUCCUCCCAUGGAACGACUGUCCACCAUCGCGUCUCCUCACCGCCCCACCUCUCUCCCUUCACUACUGCCCCAUCGAGCUAGCGUCCAAGGACCGUAGCUGCGGCCGUGGCGGCCUUGCCUACGAGGAUCAUCCGAUCUGCGAGCGCGACCGCGGGAUGGACGGGGAGGAAACGGCCGACGGCGGAGACGGAGGAGCACGUCCAGCGCAUCCUCCUGGCCAUCGCUAGCUUCGCCCACAAGGGUCAGAGAGCCGUGCCUCCAGCUACUAGCACUGAAGUAAAUUGACGGUGUGUGCAUUAGCUAAGUGUGCUGCAUGGAUUAGCUACCUCCCUCUCUGCCCCCGCCAAAAAAGCUACCUCCCUCUCUGCCCCCGCAAAAAAGCUACCUCCCCAUCUGCAUGAGUUGUGUGUGCUGCAUGGAUUAGCUGGAAUGGAGAUGAGGAUCUCUGCAUUGACACAACAUAGUGGAUUAAGCUCUUCCUUAUUGUUGUGUUUUAUUUUUUUAUUUUUUGUUUUGGUUCUAGUUCUAUUGAUUCAUGCUGAUGUUGUACUA